GUAGUAGGCGGGGUAACGGCCCACCUAGUCGACGAUCAGUAGGGGUUCUGAGAGGAAGGUCCCCCACAUUGGAACUGAGACACGGUCCAAACUCCUACGGGAGGCAGCAGUGAGGAAUAUUGGUCAAUGGGCGAGAGCCUGAACCAGCCAAGUAGCGUGCAGGAUGACGGCCCUAUGGGUUGUAAACUGCUUUUAUAUAGGGAUAAAGUGAGGGACGUGUCCCUUAUUGUAGGUACUAUAUGAAUAAGGACCGGCUAAUUCCGUGCC
rnacentral:rRNA from 1 species